ACACAAUUUAUUUCUUAUGUUCAUUUUAUUUAUUUAAAUAAUAUUACUAUUAAGUCCUAAUUAAAUUUUAACGAACGCUUUAUAAUUAAAAAUUGUAAUUCAUGUUCACUUAAAUAUAAACUGCACCUUGAUCUAAUUUAAAUCUAAAAAUAGUGUUAAAACUUUAUUAAUAAAAUUUAUGAGCAAAUGACGGUAUACAAGCUAAUUUAAUUUAAAUAAAACAAUUAGUGGAUUAUCGAUUUAUGAACACAAAUUCCCCUAAUAAGUUUUAAAUUACCGUCAGGUUCUUUAGGUUUUG
rnacentral:rRNA from 1 species